rnacentral:rRNA from 1 species
AACGUUAGCGGCGGGCCUAACACAUGCAAGUCGAACGAGUAACGCUCCUUCGGGAGUUAUUAAAGUGGCGCACGGGUGAGGAACGCGUAGGUAAUCUACCCUUUGGCGGGGGACAACAUUCCGAAAGGAAUGCUAAUACCGCGUAAGACCACGCUCACUACGGUGAAAGUGGUUAAAGGUGCCUCAAAGCACCACCAAAGGAUGAGCCUGCGUCCCAUCAGCUUGUUGGUGAGGUAAUGGCUUACCAAGGCGAAGACGGGUAGCUGGUCUGAGAGGAUGAUCAGCCACACUGGCACUGGAACACGGGCCAGACUCCUACGGGAGGCAGCAGUGAGGAAU